AUACGGAGGGUGCAAGCGUUAAUCGGAAUUACUGGGCGUAAAGCGCUCGUAGGCGGUUUGUUAAGUCGGAUGUGAAAGCCCCGGGCUCAACCUGGGAACUGCAUUCGAUACUGGCAAACUAGAGUAUAGUAGAGGCAAGUGGAAUUCCGGGUGUAGCGGUGAAAUGCGUAGAUAUCCGGAGGAACAUCAGUGGCGAAGGCGACUUGCUGGACUAAUACUGACGCUGAGGAGCGAAAGCGUGGGGAGCAAACGGGAUUAGAAACCCGGGUAGUCC
rnacentral:rRNA from 1 species